rnacentral:SRP_RNA from 1 species
UGCGGCUUGGGCGGCACCACACUUUGAACCUGGUCAGGUCCUGACGGAAGCAGCCAUAAGGAGUCAAUGGUGAGCGCUCAAGCCAUCUUA